GAGUUUGAUCAUGGCUCAGAACGAACGCUGGCGGCAUGCCUUACACAUGCAAGUCGAACGGUAACAGGUUAAGCUGACGAGUGGCGAACGGGUGAGUAAUGUAUCGGAACGUGCCCAGUCGUGGGGGAUAACUGCUCGAAAGAGCAGCUAAUACCGCAUACGACCUGAGGGUGAAAGCGGGGGAUCGCAAGACCUCGCGCGAUUGGAGCGGCCGAUAUCAGAUUAGGUAGUUGGUGGGGUAAAGGCCUACCAAGCCGACGAUCUGUAGCUGGUCUGAGAGGACGACCAGCCACACUGGGACUGAGACACGGCCCAGACUCCUACGGGAGGCAGCAGUGGGGAAUUUUGGACAAUGGACGCAAGUCUGAUCCAGCCAUGCCGCGUGCGGGAAGAAGGCC
rnacentral:rRNA from 1 species